UCCCGAGUGCCUGCACUCAAUUGGAAAGAGGAGUGGCGGACGGGUGAGUAACACGUGGGUAACCUACCCAUCAGAGGGGGAUAACACUUGGAAACAGGUGCUAAUACCGCAUAACAGUUUAUGCCGCAUGGCAUAAGAGUGAAAGGCGCUUUCGGGUGUCGCUGAUGGAUGGACCCGCGGUGCAUUAGCUAGUUGGUGAGGUAACGGCUCACCAAGGCCACGAUGCAUAGCCGACCUGAGAGGGUGAUCGGCCACACUGGGACUGAGACACGGCCCAGACUCCUACGGGAGGCAGCAGUAGGGAAUCUUCGGCAAUGGACGAAAGUCUGACCGAGCAACGCCGCGUGAGUGAAGAAGGUUUUCGGAUCGUAAAACUCUGUUGUUAGAGAAGAACAAGGACGUUAGUAACUGAACGUCCCCUGACGGUAUCUAACCAGAAAGCCACGGCUAACUACGUGCCAGCAGCCGCGGUAAUACGUAGGUGGCAAGCGUUGUCCGGAUUUAUUGGGCGUAAAGCGAGCGCAGGCGGUUUCUUAAGUCUGAUGUGAAAGCCCCCGGCUCAACCGGGGAGGGUCAUUGGAAACUGGGAGACUUGAGUGCAGAAGAGGAGAGUGGAAUUCCAUGUGUAGCGGUGAAAUGCGUAGAUAUAUGGAGGAACACCAGUGGCGAAGGCGGC
rnacentral:rRNA from 1 species